rnacentral:rRNA from 1 species
AUUGAACGCUGGCGGCAUGCUUUACACAUGCAAGUCGAACGGUAACAGGGAGCUUGCUCCGCUGACGAGUGGCGAACGGGUGAGUAAUGCGUCGGAACGUGCCGAGUAGUGGGGGAUAACGCAUCGAAAGGUGUGCUAAUACCGCAUACGUACUGAGGUAGAAAGUGGGGGACCUUCGGGCCUCACGCUAUUCGAGCGGCCGACGUCUGAUUAGCUAGUUGGUGAGGUAAAGGCUCACCAAGGCGACGAUCAGUAGCGGGUCUGAGAGGAUGAUCCGCCACACUGGGACUGAGACACGGCCCAGACCCGUACGGGAGGCAGCAGUGGGGAAUUUUGGACAAUGGGCGCAAGCCUGAUCCAGCCAUGCCGCGUGUCUGAAGAAGGCCUUCGGGUUGUAAAGGACUUUUGUCCGGGAGCAAAUGCUGGUGGCUAACAUCCACCGGAGCUGAGAAUACCGGAAGAAUAAGCACCGGCUAACUACGUGCCAGCCGCCGCAGUAAAAC